GCCGGGGUCCCACAGCCAGGCAGUGGGCCGGCCUCGAGAUCAUAAAAAGCUGGUCAAGAAAGCCGGUGGCCUUUCCGGGCCGCGUGGGUUCAAAUCCCACCCCCGGCG
rnacentral:tRNA from 1 species